rnacentral:rRNA from 1 species
UUGAUCCUGGCUCAGGAUGAACGCUGGCGGUCUGCUUAACACAUGCAAGUCGAACGGAACUCUUCGGAGUUUAGUGGCGGACGGAGUGAGUAACGCGUGAGAAUCUGCCCUUAGGAGGGGGACAACGGUUGGAAACGACCGCUAAGACCCCAUAUGCCGAGUGGUGAAACAAAUUUUGCCUGAGGAUGAGCUCGCGUCCGAUUAGCUAGUUGGUGAGGUAAGAGCUUACCAAGGCGACGAUCGGUAGCUGGUCUGAGAGGAUGAUCAGCCACACUGGGACUGAGACACGGCCCAGACUCCUACGGGGAGGCAGCAGUGGGGAAUUUUCCGCAAUGGGCGAAAGCCUGACGGAUCAAGCACCGCGUGGAGGGAAGAAGGUCUGUGGAUUGUAAACCUCUUUUGACAGGGCAAGAAGUUCUGACGGUACCUGUCGAAUCAGCCUCGGCUAACUCCGUGCCAGCAGCCGCGGUAAUACGGUAGGAGGCAAGCGUUAUCCGGAAUUAUUGGGCGUAAAGCGUCCGUAGGUGGAUGUUCAAGUCUUCUGUCAAAGCGCGGAGCUUAACUCCGUAAAGGCAGAGGAAACUGAGCGUCUAGAGUGCGAUAGGGGCAAGGGGAAUUCCCAGUGUAGCGGUGAAAUGCGUAGAUAUUGGGAAGAACACCGGUGGCGAAAGCGCCUUGCUGGGUCUGCACUGACACUGAGGGACGAAAGCUAGGGGAGCGAA